rnacentral:rRNA from 1 species
GAUGAACGCUGGCGGCGUGCCUAAUACAUGCAAGUCGAGCGAACGGACGAGAAGCUUGCUUUUCUGAUGUUAGCGGCGGACGGGUGAGUAACACGUGGAUAACCUACCUAUAAGACUGGGAUAACUUCGGGAAACCGGAGCUAAUACCGGAUAAUAUUUUGAACCGCAUGGUUCAAAAGUGAAAGACGGUCUUGCUGUCGCUUAUAGAUGGAUCUGCGCUGCAUUGGCUAGUUGGUAAGGUAACGGCUUACCAAGGCAACGAUGCAUAGCCGACCUGAGAGGGUGAUCGGCCACACUGGAACUGAGACGCGGUCCAGACUCCUACGGGAGGCAGCAGUAGGGAAUCUUCCGCAAUGGGCGAAAGCCUGACGGAGCAACGCCGCGUGAGUGAUGAAGGUCUUCGGAUCGUAAAACUCUGUUAUUGGGGAAGAACAUAUGUGGAAGUAACUGUGCACAUCUUGACGGUACCUAAUCAGAAAGCCACGGCUAACUACGUG